UUCACCCUACAAUCUCUGAAUUCCCUUCUUCUUCCUCCAUAAUUCUUACACCAUCUUCUUCUUCUCCAUCUUUCCAUUACACGCAUCAACAGAAAUCUCCAAGACCCGACAGUUUCAAGAUCUCACCUCUUCACGAAGAUCCGCAAGAUUCAAGAGUUAUGAUCGAUUUGUUCUAGACUUAAACUAUCUUUCUCCCGCUUUGUGUAAUUUUUGCUCUUUUGGCCAC
rfam:Arabidopsis thaliana chromosome 1, complete sequence.